GACGAACCGUGCGAACGUUAUUCGGAAUCAUUGGGCUUAAAGGGCGCGUAGCGGCGGUGUAAGUUGGAAGUGAAAUCCCAUCGGCUCAACCGUGGAAUUGCUCCCAGUACUGCAUCGCUCGAGGGGGAUAGGGUUUGCGGAACUACCGGUGGAGGCGGUGAAAUGUGUUAGAUAUCGGUGGGAAUCGCCAGUGGCGAAAGCGGCAAACUUGACCCUCCUGACGCUGAGGCGCGAAAGCUAGGGGAGCAAACGG
rnacentral:rRNA from 1 species